rnacentral:rRNA from 1 species
UACACAUGCAAGUCGAACGGCAGCGGGGGAGAAGCUUUCUUGAUGGAGGGGAGCGGCAGACGGGUGAGUAACGCGUGGGAAUCUACCGUACCCUACGGAAUAGCUCUGGGAAACUGGAGGUAAUACCGUAUACGCCCUAACGGGGAAAGAUUUAUCGGGGUAUGAUGAGCCCGCGUUGGAUUAGCUAGUUGGUGGGGUAAAGGCCUACCAAGGCGACGAUCCAUAGCUGGUCUGAGAGGAUGAUCAGCCACAUUGGGACUGAGACACGGCCCAAACUCCUACGGGAGGCAGCAGUGGGGAAUAUUGGACAAUGGGCGCAAGCCUGAUCCAGACAUGCCGCGUGAGUGAUGAAGGUCUUAGGAUUGUAAAGCUCUUUCACCGAUGAAGAUAAUGACGGUAGUCGGAGAAGAAGCCCCGGCUAACUUCGUGCCAGCCGCCGCUGUAA